ensembl:snRNA U6 U6 spliceosomal RNA
UGUUCUUGCUUUAGCAACAAAAUACUAAAACUGGAAUGAUGCACAGAUGACUAGCACGGUCCCUGGGCAAGGAUGGCAUGUACGUUUUUGAGGAGUUUCAUUAAAAC